GGCUAUGUGGUGUAGUGGUCAGAGCGCUGCUCUAAGACUGGGGAGAUCUGGGUUCAAAUCCCCACGCAGGCA